AGCCUCUCCAUUGCACCAAAUGGCAGAUGCAGAAUUUUAAGAUUGGGUGGUCUUAAUAUAAAAGUUCAAAAAAAUAUUAGACGAAAAUAUAAAUUACAAAAACUAAAUUUGUCCAUGAUGAAGUUUCAUACUAAAAAAUGUGUCAUUAUAGAUUUAUUGUAAACUAGAGCGAAAAUAUCCAAAAUAUAAUUGAAAUUAUCUAAAAUUGGAAUUGAACUACUUAGUUUGUGAAGACGGGGGAGGAGAUUGGGGUUGUGCCGGUGGGUGGGGAGGUGAUUGGAUAAUGGGAUUAGCCAAUUAGGAGUUAGAAAUGGAAUUGGAAAAGUUCUAACUCUGUUUGAAAGUUGAACCAUUUUGUUUAAUAAAAAAUUGCAAAAACUAUAUAUUAAAGAACGUUGUAUCGACGCACCAUUUUACUUAGAAGGUUUUUUCAAAUCAUACAUCAAACGCACCGUUUUCCUAAGUCAUUUGAAUAAAAAGCCGUGUUCUUUCUUUUUUCUGGUUUGUAGAAUACCAGAACACUCUGUAGCUCCACUCCUAUUCUCCUCCACCGUUUGCCC
rnacentral:lncRNA from 1 species